AGCGUCUUUGCAUCUUAUUCACGUUCUCAUAACAGGGAUCGUGUUUCAGAAACGGUUUGGAAGAGAAUAUGGGCCAUUCAAACACUUCCAAAGAUUAAAUCACUUAUUUGGAAGGCUUGUAAUGAGGGAAUUGCAACGGGAGGAGGACUGUCGUCUAGAAAAAUGCCAAUUGAUCCUUCUUGUAUCAGAUGUAGAGCGGUAAAGGAAACGGGGGAUCAGCUUCUGCUUGAGUGUCCAUUUGCCAGAAUAGUAUGAUUGGGGAAUACGCACGCUCACCAUUCAGAUCAACUAGCAACCCCCCUAGCAUACCACGGUGGAAAAGGGGCACUCGUGGCUACUUAAGAGAUACAGCUGGGAAGUGAUAAACCCCUCUCUCUCUCUCUUCCUCCCACUAUGGCGGCCUCUUCUGCUUUUAAAUCUUGCCCCCAAAUCAUAGGAAAGGUUUAAGUGCCCAAACAAAAAAACAAUUGAUCGCUCAGUGAUGCGAGGUGGUACAUAUUGUUUAACAAUGGAGUGUCCUUUAUUGAGGCAUCUGGUGAUAUUCAAAGAUCCAAUUAGGUAAAGAGAUGCAAGGCAAGUCAGAUCUAAUCAUUGAAAAUCACAGUGAUGGACAUCUUGCAGCUACUUUGCUGGCAUACAAGCUAGGCAUCAUUCAGUAUACCAUUGCUCAUGCACUCAAGAAAAGUAAAUAUCCAUAUUCAGAUAUUUAUUGGUAAAACUUUUAAGACAAAUAUCAGUUCUCAUGCCAAUUCGUUGCUGAUCGAAUUGCUAGAAUCAAACUGAUUUUAUUAUUACCAGUACUUUCCAGGAAAUUGCUGGAAGGUACCAUUGCAUGUUCAAUCAUCUUUUUAUUUUUCUUGUAUCAUUAAUUUAGUACUC